GCGCCGUGUAUCCCCAGGUGGCCUCCCCGUCCACCAGGGCCUGGUCGCCCAAGUACGCGCCGUCGGCGAGCACUUCGAGGACCGCCUCGCCCCCGUACGGGCCCGUGCCCACCUUCUCGACCCGGCCGUGCGCCAGGAGAUAGACCCGGUCCGCCGGGUCGCCGGCGGCGGCCAGGACCUCGCCCGCCGCGAACUCCCGCUGCUCGCACCGGCGUGCCAGCUCCGUGAGCACCUCUUCGUCGCCGUACUCGCGCAGCGCCGGCAACUCCCCCAGCUCGGCGGGAAUGACCGUCACCCGGUCUCCGGUCUGCACGAAGGUCACUCGUCCGUCACCGACGGCAUAACUGAGUCGGCGGUUGACCCGAUAGGUGCCGCCCUGCACCUGGACCCACGGCAGCAUCCGCAGCAGCCACCGCGAGGUGAUCUCCUGCAUCUGCGGUACCGAUUUGGUGGUGGUCGCCAGGUUCCGGGCGGCGGCCGUUCCCAGACUCUGCUGGGGCGGCGACUG
rnacentral:antisense_RNA from 1 species